GUGGAUUAGAUACCCUGGUAGUCCUAGCCGUAAACGAUGGAUACUAGGUGUUGCCCGUAUCGACCCGGGCAGUGCCGUAGCUAACGCGUUAAGUAUCCCGCCUGGGGAGUACGCACGCAAGUGUGAAACUCAAAGGAAUUGACGGGGGCCCGCACAAGCGGUGGAGUAUGUGGUUUAAUUCGAUGCAACGCGAAGAACCUUACCAGGGCUUGACAUGUCUGGAAUCUUUGGGAAACUAAAGAGUGCCUUCGGGAACCAGAACACAGGUGGUGCACGGCUGUCGUCAGCU
rnacentral:rRNA from 1 species